GCAGGGGUGGCUGAGCCUGGUCAAAAGCGCGGGACUUAAGAUCCCGUCUCUUAGGAGUUCGCCGGUUCAAAUCCGGCCUCCUGCA
rnacentral:tRNA from 1 species